UUUUAAUUCUGUCUCUAAUCUCUGCAACAGCCGCGCUUCCCGGGUCGCGCGGCUCCCGCGCGCGAUCUGCCGCGGCCGGCUGCUGGGCAAAAAUCAGAGCCGCCUCCGCCCCAUUACCCAUCAUGGAAACCCUCCAGGAAAAAGUGGCCCCGGACGCGCGAGCCUGAGGAUUCUGCACAAAAGAGGUGCCCAAAAUGAAGACCCUGAUGCGCCAUGGUCUGGCAGUGUGUUUAGCGCUCACCACCAUGUGCACCAGCUUGUUGCUAGUGUACAGCAGCCUCGGCGGCCAGAAGGAGCGGCCCCCGCAGCAGCAGCAGCAGCAACAGCAGCGGCAGGCGUCGUCCACCGGCAGCUCGCAGCCGGCGGCGGAGAGCAGCACCCAGCAGCGCCCCGGGGUCCCCGCAGGACAGCGGCCACUGGACGGAUACCUCGGAGUGGCGGACCACAAGGUGACAGCAUGCCCGCCAGCCGGCUCGCCACUCAGCCUGGGGAUCCCGCACACCUGAGCCUUCCCCCUUUCCCGGGGCUGGGAGGCGCUGUGAGUAGGUGCCGUUCGGAAGCUGGAGGGGAGUGGACCCGCUGGGGUAGGGUGGGCUAGUUCCAACUUGGUAUGAAUUCUUAUUUGGAGAAAGACACAAAGUUUUGUAGAAAAUAGGGGUGAGGUGAGCGGACCCCAAAGCCUAAUUUCCCAGCAGAAAUCGGCCCUGGAACUAGAACUCCCUGAUCCCCAGAAUUGCAGCUGCAGAUGGAGGUCCGGUUCCUGAAGCCUCGGGUUUGGCUG
rnacentral:sRNA from 1 species